rnacentral:rRNA from 1 species
UACGAGGGGGGCAAGUGUUGUUCGGAAUUACUGGGCGUAAAGCGUGCGUAGGCGGUUUGUUAAGUCUGCUGUGAAAUCCCCGGGCUCAACCUGGGAAUGGCAUUUGGGACUGCAAGGCUGGAGUGCGGCAGAGGAGACUGGAAUUCCCAGUGUAGAGGUGAAAUUCGUAGAUAUUGGGAAGAACACCGGUGGCGAAGGCGGCUCUCUGGACCGUAACUGACGCUGAGGCGCGAAAGCGUGGGGAGCGAACAGG